GACGAACGCUGGCGGCGUGCUUAACACAUGCAAGUCGAACGAAGUGGCGAACGGGUGAGUAACGCGUGAUCAACCUGCCCUUGAGAGGGGGACAACAGUUGGAACCGACGGUUAAUACCGCAUACUGAAGGAGGGGAUGGCGUCGGAUUAGCUAGUUGGAGGGGUAACGGCCCACCAAGGGGAUGAUCAGUCGCCGGUCUGAGAGGAUGAACGGGCACAUUGGGACUGAGACACGGCCCAGAAUUCUACGGGAGGCAACAGUGGGGAAUCUUCCGCAAAGGACGGAAGUCCGACGGAGCAAAGCCGCGUGGGUGAAGACGGCCCUCGGGUUGUAAAGCUCUGUUAAUCGGGACGCGGUACCGGAAUAGAAAGCCACGGCUAACUACGUGCCAGCAGCCGCGGUAAUAC
rnacentral:rRNA from 1 species